rnacentral:rRNA from 1 species
UGCGAACUCCUACUGGAGGCAGCAGUGGGGAAUUUUGGACAAUGGGGGCAACCCUGAUCCAGCCAUGCCGCGUGAGUGAAGAAGGCCUUCGGGUUGUAAAGCUCUUUCAGCCGGGAAGAAAAUGCAUGGGUUAAUACCCUAUGCAGAUGACGGUACCGGAAUAAGAAGCACCGGCUAACUACGUGCCAGCAGCCGCGGUAAUACGUAGGGUGCGAGCGUUAAUCGGAAUUACUGGGCGUAAAGCGUGCGCAGGCGGUUUUGUAAGACAGGCGUGAAAUCCCCGGGCUUAACCUGGGAACUGCGUUUGUGACUGCAAGGCUAGAGUACGGCAGAGGGGGGUGGAAUUCCACGUGUAGCAGAGAAAUGCGUAGAGAUGUGGAGGAACACCAAUGGCGAAGGCAGCCCCCUGGGUCGAUACUGACGCUCAUGCACGAAAGCGUGGGUAGCAAACAGGAUUAGAAACCCUGGUAGUCCAGAUG